AUACGGAGGGUCCGAGCGUUAUCCGGAAUCAUUGGGUUUAAAGGGUACGUAGGCGGCCAAUUAAGUCAGUGGUGAAAUCCUGCAGCUCAACUGUAGAGGUGCCAUUGAUACUGGUUGGCCUGAGUACUGUUAAGGUAGGCGGUAUUGAUGGUGUAGCGGUGAAAUGCAUAGAUACCAUCAGGAACACCGAUUGCGAAGGCAGCUUACUGGGCAGUAACUGACGCUAAGGUACGAAAGCGUGGGGAGCGAACAGGAUUAGAAACCCCGGUAGUCC
rnacentral:rRNA from 1 species